GUCAACUUUCGAAUACACAUCCUCUAUGGAAUUUUGUACAUUAGGAGUUUGUAAACAUUGACCGAUAAGACAACUAUUUGAAACAAAAUGAAAUAUUAGCAUGCUAAAAAGAAACAAACAAAAACAGAAGAUCUCAGUGGUUCAUGGUGUCAGAAAGCAGAGAUCCACAUCAACAUCAUUAACAGAUGAAGAACCAGUCGGUGGUAACAAUGAAGAUCAUACUUUGAUAUUUAGUCA